rnacentral:rRNA from 1 species
GUCGAGAAUCAUUCGCAAUGCGCGAAAGCGUGACGAUGCGACGCUGCGUGGAGGAUGAAGGCCUUCGGGUUGUAAACUCCUGUCAUGCGGGAACAAUCCCCCAUAUAUUAACAGUGUGUGGGGUUGAUGGUACCGCAAGAGGAAGCCACGGCUAACUCUGUGCCAGCAGCCGCGGUGAUACAGAGGUGGCUAGCGUUGUUCGGAUUUACUGGGCGUAAAGGGUGCGUAGGUGGUCCCGUAUGUCGGGUGUGAAAGCCCACGGCUUAACCGUGGAAUUGCAUUCGAAACUACGGGGCUGGAGUGCAGGAGGGGAGAGCGGAAUUCUUGGUGUAGCGGUGAAAUGCGUUGAUAUCAAGAAGAACACCGGUGGCGAAGGCGGCUCUCUGGAAUGCUACUGACACUGAGGCACGAAAGCUGGGGGAGCAAACAGGAUUAGAUACCCCAGUAGUCC